AUACGGAGGAUGCAAGCGUUAUCCGGAUUUAUUGGGUUUAAAGGGUGCGUAGGCGGUUUGCUAAGCGGGAGGUGAAAUGCCGGCGCUCAACGUCGGAAGUGCCCCCCGAACUGGUGGACUGGAAUGACUCUGCCGUGGGAGGAAUGUGUAGUGUAGCGGUGAAAUGCUUAGAGAUUACACAGAACACCGAUUGCGAAGGCAUCUCACGAAGGGUUGAUUGACGCUGAGGCACGAAAGCGUGGGGAUCAAACAGGAUUAGAUACCCUGGUAGUCCACGCAGUAAACGAUGAUGGCUAACCGCUGGGCUUAUCAGUUCAGUGGCCAAGCGAAAGCGAUAAGUCAUCCACCUGGGGAGUACGUUCGCAAGAAUGAAACUCAAAUGAAUUGACGGGG
rnacentral:rRNA from 1 species